CGCGUAGUUUAAAUGCUUUCCUGAAUCUGGGCCUCAGAUUUUGGAGUAUCUGGUUGCCUCCAGUUCUGCUGUGUACAUUUUAACCUGUUCCAGGUUUCCAGAAUUUAAACAAGCAACUGCUUCUUGUGGUGUUUGUGCUCUAUUUGUAGCAGAGAGGUGGGAGUGACACGUAAAGAUUCAUCUUUGGAAAAGGCAGGUACCAUAUCAGGAUGGGCGAGCUGUCUUCAGCUAAGCAAAUUAACCUGUUGAGAAACAAAAGAGAAUGCAAGUUAACAGGUUCUGAUUUUGCCUAUGAAAAUGAGCUUCAGAUGUGAGGUUGCGAUCUAUGUAAAUUAAAUGUAACCCUUCAGUAUCAGAAGAUAAUUCCACUUGGGCCACAUAAGGACAAAAAAACGUGCUAACGGUCCAUGCUGCAACACCAGAUUAAGCCAUGCUGAAACAGUGCUCACAGAUGUGAGACCAGCAGCAGCGGCAGAAAGGCUUUGUCAACACCAGCAAAUCACUGUUUCUACCUCUGCAAGGUCAGCUGCUGAAGGCAACGUGUUCAAGACCACAGCUCCACAACCGGUGAGGAACAUUAAUUGUCAGGAAACACUUAGAAAUGACACAGUGUUAGUUAGGCAAAAAAUGUUCUCAUGACAGAGCCAAUGUCUGAAUUUAAGGCCAGCCUUGCAUCUAUAGGGUGAAUAGUUUGUGAGUAACUUCAGUGGGGUUAGGAUGAAGCCCAGGAGUUUCUUACUCAUUACUUGCUGGGUUAAUGACACGAUGAACAUCUGCAGAACAUGUUCCUGUGUCAUCACUGUAUUUCCUGAAUUUGUCCUCUAGUAUUUUGGAAGAAUUUAUCCUUUGGAAAAGCUUUAUAUAACAAAUUGAAAAGCAUUGUCUGCAGUUAUUUAGAAAUAGUGUGAAUAAAGAUAGGACCAAAUUUGUAAAAAAUGGUUUG
rnacentral:lncRNA from 1 species